rnacentral:misc_RNA from 1 species
GUAGGUGAACCUGCGGAAGGAUCAUUACCGUAGGGCUUCGGCCCUGUCGAGAUAGAACCCUUGCCUUUUUGGGUACCUUUCGUUUCCUCGGCAGCCUCGGCUGCCAAUGGGGACCCCAAAAAACACUUUACAGUACCUGUAACAGUCUGAACAAACAAACAAAAAUUAAAAUUUUCAACAACGGAUCUCUUGGUUCUG